UAUGUAGGGUGCGAGCGUUAAUCGGAAUUACUGGGCGUAAAGCGUGCGCAGGCGGUGAUGUAAGACAGAUGUGAAAUCCCCGGGCUCAACCUGGGAACUGCGUUUGUGACUGCAUCACUCGAGUACGGCAGAGGGAGGUGGAAUCCCGCGUGUAGCAGUGAAAUGCGUAGAUAUGCGGAGGAACACCGAUGGCGAAGGCAAGCCCUCGGUCGCGCACUGACGCUCAUGCACGAAAGCGUGGGGAGC
rnacentral:rRNA from 1 species